CUCAUAUCAACUUACAGUUUGUUGUCUUUCAUGCUGUGAAUUUCAGGUGAAAGGAAAUACAGCAUCCCGCCACUGGAGCCACUUAAAAUAAAACAAAUAAAGAUUGCCGAUCGAAAUUUGGAUGCCUCAGUACGGGAUGCAUCUAUGUUUGGGGCAAGAAAUACAAGUCUGACAAGCAUAAGUUUUGAUUUCAACAAGAAAGAAAUCGUUAUCGGAGCCCAAGUGCCAAAUUUAACUUGGGUUGGCAGGUAUAAUGUGAGUGGUAAGCUGCUGUCACUCCCGAUAAGCGGCGAGGGGCCUAUGAAGAUUUCUUUUUAUGAUUGCGAUAUGAAGUAUACGACCAGUUACAAUUUAACUAAGCUCGGUAAAGGAGAUGUGUACCUAGUGCUCAAGGACUUCAAGUUGUUGAUGGCACCUCAGGGUUUAAAAAUUCAACUAGAUAACUUAUUCAACGAAAACAAGAUACU